GCUUUGUAAAGACAAACUAUUUUAAAAAAAAUCCUAUACCACAGAUCAAGUUCCACCAGAGUAUCCCUUUCAACUCUCAAAAGUAAUGAUCAAAACAUUCAAAUAUCCUAUUGCGUAUGCAUCCACUGUCACCAUAAAACAAUCAAGCAAAAUGUCUAACAGAAAGUUACGGCAUAGCAUCUCUUUACACUGUACACUCCCUUAAGCAGGGACCUUGCUUAACAUUUUAAGAAGCCAGAAGUAUUUCUGACUUUUUGGGCUAAGGGACCAAUGUCAACCCUCAACAUUUCUUGCAGACACUCUUGUUACCCACUGCACAAUUCAAAGGGGAUGAAGGAAGAUGCAACCAGUGUUCCUCAAACCAUCAGUGUUCUACAAAUCAGUUUUGGAACUACUUUAAAAGACAGAGGACAGGAUUGGGACACAGACCCAGCAACUGACUGGCCUAUUGGUCACCUUGGGCAAGUCCCAUCAUCACUCAGUGCCUCAGUAAUGAUAUUUCCUUUUGUUGAGGCACUAUGAGAGCUACUUUGUUACUUUUUUAAAAAAAAAGUGAACUGCACCACUUACAUUCUUAUCCCAAAGAGAUGAGAGAAGGGCGAGUUCACAUUUGUGCUACUACAGCAACUGCCCCAGGGAUAGUUUUCUGCAGCACUUCUGUAUACAAUAGAAUGAUCAUAACUUGCUUGACUAUGGAAAUGUUUCAGUGCAGCUGUCCUCCCAAAUUCCUUUCCUGGGUUAGAAUCCACCCUCUUCUCUUCCUGUCAGGCUGUGGGGACAGGGACAUAAAGCCUUUCCUCCCACCUCAAUAGGGAAGGAAAGCUACUGGUGUCACAAGCAUCCAAGCAGAGUUGAGCUUUUCAUACUGCAACUUGAAUGGAAACCAGCAACAGCUCUCACUACCCUAACACUCAUUUGGUCUCUACCCAGAAACAGCUGAUGCUUCCUAUGCCCGCUCAUCUGCUAGGUUCUAGGGCCAAGAAUAAAUAGAAUUUGUUCCAGCAGGACACAAAUAUUUGGGACAGUAACACCUCUUUCCACCUCCCUGAAACCUUACCCCUCACUUUGCUUACAAUUGCAACACAGAACUGUACAGUAGUUCAGGUUCUCUUGCCAGCUGUCCCAAAAAUAAUUGCUAAGCUCAUCAGCCUAGGCAACAGGACAUUUCUGAUGCCUGAGGGCAGGGGUUCAUUUGGCACUCGCUUUACAGAUGUCACCACAGCAUACCCAGAAGUUAACUUUUUUUCCAAUUUUUACCUCCUCCCCACAUAGACUGGAUUCUAGAUAUGCUUCUCAGUGAGCACUUUUACACACCAACUUUAGUCAGAUAAACUAUAUGAAAACUGUCCCUUUGUUGUGGUGUUUUGUUUUGUUAAUAGAAUCAAUCGGAGAAUGUGUCCCCUAUUCUACUGCUUUGAGGUGGUAGCUCCUCAGGCUUUCACUCUAAGGUCUUGAGUACCUUUUAGAAAGCAGAACAGAAAUCCUCCGUUAAGGGCUUUUUGGUUUUCCAAGUAGGUGCUGAGCACAUACCCCUACUAAAUAGUCCAUUUUCACUAUGUACCUCAAAAUAUCACAGUCCUCAAAACUUCUAGUCAGGUUUGAACUAUAAAGGAACUCAGCAACCUAAGCCCAUUAUAAAAAGUCUCAAAUAUGUAGACACCACCUUGAAGGCAAUAAGCAAAAGCGGAUCCUUGCAAUCUAAGCACAGAAAAUAGAAGCAGAAAAAACUGCCAUACUAGCAGGAAAGUAGACUAUGGUGCACAGAGUAGGUAUGGAAUCUUCUUCAUUGGAGGUUUCAAAGAAGAGGCUGGAAAAACAUUCAUCUGGGAUAGCAUAGGAAUAAUGGAUCUUGUGUUUGUAUAGUGGGGGUUAUGCGGACGACCCCUGAGGUCCCUUCCAACCCUACAAUUCUACGGUAGAUGACAAAACAUGACAUAGCCUCCAAAAAUGCAGAGUUCUGGGUAUGUAAUUGAACGACGUAGCUGGCUGUGUUAUUCUGAAAUCAGGGAGAAGGCAGGGUAGACUUGCACUUUAUAAAAUAACCAAAGUAGAUGUAAAUAUAUGGCACAAGCUUUCGUGAGCUGAAGCAUCUGACCCACAGGCUGGCUCUGGCCCACUGAGCUACUGGUGGGCAAGAGUUUAAGGAAGUGGUUAGUGGUUGGUGUGGCCUACCACAGAAUAUGGGCCCCUAUGGCUUACGUAGACAUGGGCAGACAGAGAUAGUUAAGCGGUGUCAGUCUGAAGUCACACAGAAGACUAGGUAGAUCUGCUCCUUACAUAUUAACUAAUCAGAGCUAUAUAGCAUCUAAGUGGGCAUGACCACUGGAGGCAGAAAGGCAAGCAAAGGCUGUGUGAAAAAGCCCUCACACCCUGGAGCCAUUUGGCCUAAAAGGAGACAUGUGGUCUGGAUCCACUCCAAGGAACAAGAUGAAUUCAAUAUCCUUGCUCUACAGUCUAGACUUUAACACAGCAGCAAAAUGUCCCAGUACUGGUAAACCUGAGACCACUGCUUACCUGAAUCCACAGGCAUGCUCCAGAUCUGAAAGUUCACUAAUGCUGCAGCUUCAGGCUUGUUUCUACUCUGAGGGCCUGCCAGACCUCAAGGAGUUAAGAGCAGGCACAAACGGAUGAGUUUUCAACAUCCUCACUGAUGCAUUUAGUUUGGAACAUGGCAGGGGACUUGGGUGGGCAGGGCACGCUCAAGCUCACUCCAGUACUAAGAUAUGUUGUGUUAUACACAAUGCCUAAAACACCUCAUUUUGGAAACAAGUUUUGCAGACCAGAAGGCUAAAAUCAGAACAUUUUCUGAGAGACCACCUCUGCACAAAACAGAUGGCCAUCUGGCUGAUUUUGCAUUACACAGUGGUAGUGACUAACAAUACCAUAGGCUCAGUACUAAAUGGAGAUGAUAACUAUUCAUAAAACCAAAAAAACCACCCCAAAUAUUUUUGUUCUGUAUUUAGCAACAAUUACAAUGAUGUAUGUUUAUGCGAGGAUGGCAAAGUGCUUUUCAGUCCAUUAGGAACAGAAGAGGAAGUUGGAAAUAAAACCUACUAGGAAUUAAAAUUUUAAAUCAGGAGGCCUGGGUAUCUUGCACCCACUGGAAACAUGAAUGUAGUGCCAUUAUCCAAAAGAGACAAACAGAAUGACCAGGACAUCUCGGUGAGUUAACUUUUCCAAGAUAAUGGAAAAACUGAUACAGGUUUCAAUAGUUGAAGAAUCAGUUAUAUUUCCAUGUUUUCAAUGAUGCUCAAUUUGGUUUUAUGGAAAACAGGUCUUGGCAAACAAGCCUGAUGUAAUGCUUUGAUAAGAUAAUAAGGUAUAAAAGAUAACGGUGCCAAGGUAAGACAUUUAUAAGGUGUUUCAUGCAGUACUGCACCAUAUUCCAACUAAAAAAGUAGCAAAAUAUGACAAAAACAAAUGUUAAAAGUAUUAAUAACUGGUUAUUUGUAAAAAUCCCCCAAAUCAUCACUGGGUGCCUCCAGUGAGGUUCUACAGGGAUCAGUGCAAAUCCAAUGUUUUCAUCAGUGAUCUGAAAU